rnacentral:rRNA from 1 species
CGAAGGUGGCAAGCGUUGUUCGGAUUUACUGGGCGUACAGGGAGCGUAGGCGUUGGAUAAGCCCUCCGUGAAAUCUCCAGGCUUAACCUGGAAAGUGCAGAGGGGACUGUUCAGCUAGAGGAUGGGAGAGGAGCGCGGAAUUCCCGGUGUAGCGGUGAAAUGCGUAGAGAUCGGGAGGAAGGCCGGUGGCGAAGGCGGCGCUCUGGAACAUUUCUGACGCUGAGGCUCGAAAGCGUGGGGAGCAAACAGGAUUAGAUACCCUGGUAGUCCACGCCUUAAACGAUGGAUACUAAGUGUCGGCGGGUUACCGCCGGUGCCGCAGCUAACGCAGUAAGUAUCCCGCCUGGGAAGUACGGCCGCAAGGUUG